ACCUUCUGCAUGCAAAGCAGGUGCUCUAAUAUUGAGCUACAGUCCAGACUACAGAGGCUGCUUCCUCAUGGCUAAAUUCCAUGCAGUAGCAGUGCAAUAGAUAGGCCCGCUAUCUGGCUGUUCUCCCAGAGAGGGGCACAGAAAGGGUAAAUCUUAGUUGAACACCACCCAAAGCAUUUAUCUUCGAAACCUACAAAAUCCAAAACUGGCGUGAGGAAGAGGAUAAUUUUAAUGGACCUAAAGCAAACAUACUUUGUAAUAUAUCUCUCCAAUGAGAAUUCAGUUCCCGGAAUCCACUCCCUCUGCCUUUGGCAAAGUGCAGGUAACCUCAGCAGAGUCUGAGAGGAAUAUCGCAGUGCAGACUGAAAAAGUGACCCACAAGAACUUUGCCUCGCUGUCUGAAAGUUGGGUAUUCAGUGGGGGUGAACUGUUACUCUUUUUUCCACUGUAGUAGUUUCUAGCUUAUCCCAUGCAUAGAGCUUGGGAGAGCUAAAGGAAAGAAAGAUGGUUUAAAUUCAGCCAAUUCUGUUACUACUCCACCUUGCAGGGACAAACCGUGGGGGUUUCUGUACCCCAUAGCUCCCAUGUUGUGAGGCACCCACACCCACACCUCGAUGUGGGUCUCAUAAUGCAUUGGCUGUCCAGUGAUUUGCAAGGCUGAAUAUACCUAGAAUCAUGUGCCAACAGCCCUAUUCAGAGGUUGCUCCUUCAUAAGUUUCUCAUUCCAUGGGUGAGAAGGCAUUAAGGAGAGAUUAAUGUCAGCCGUGGGGAGCCAGCUCUUCUCAUGGAGUCUCGCUGUGUAAUGAAGAACUCUACUUGCACAGGGUUCUGAAUGGAGUAGGGCUGGCUCCCUGCUGCAGAUAUUUCGCCCCAAAGCAUGGAGACUCUAGGGGCCAGACCAUCAGGAAUGUGUUGGGGAGGGUGGAGCCAGCAAGCACCCACUUGCUCACCACUUUUUUGCAAUGAGAAAUGUGUGAGUGAGAGAACCUAGGCCUAAAGAAACAAAGGUCUAAAGAAUAGUAGUGACAGAUAAACAAAGGAAUAGGCAAACAGAUCUAUAAACUUUCCCAAGAGGGUUUAUAGAAGAUCCCCAUAGCAUAAUACUUCCCAGUUAGAGAAAACGCCAUUUCCUUAGCUGAACCAGCAAUUGAUCUGCUAACCACGUCACUUUUUGGAUUUGAGAUAUUUGAAUUGAAAGAAUUCAAAUUCAGGGCUGGCAGUGGGAAAUAAUUUGAUGGGUCUGGAUGUUUUCUGGAGUUGAGAUCUGGAGUACCAAGAUGGGUUAAAGACAUUGUAAACCUAAAUCAGUGACACACAGGAUGUUUAUGCAUUACCGACUUAAAUCACUGCUACGGCAUUCUUGUUCUCAACUUGGAUUGAAGCAAGUUUGACUAUUUCAUAAGAAACAACAGGCUGGAUAUGGAUUGUGGCUGAUGUUGUGUGUGUACCACUUCUCAAACCAGUGGUGGGAGCAGUCCUGGCAGUCCCAUUGCCUGCAGAUAUCGGAAUCCAGCACCUAAACUUGUCUUUUCCAGAUUUGGGUAGCAUUUCUCUGCGUUACACUAACUGAUGAAACAGAUUAGCUUUCUGCUGCCUCGUCCUUCCAAAACACACACCAAAGUAGAAGUAAAUUGGGAAAGAGGGUAGAGUUCACUCUUUCCUUAAACAAUUGCUGGUGCUUUCCGAGGGAGGUCUUGGCAGGUAUCACAGUAUGAGAACUCUAUUUCUAUUACAGUUAAGACCUAAAAGCCACAAACCUUUGUUCUCUAAGUCUUCUGAUCUCAUACACUCUGAGCCUCAUAAACAGCAGGUUAGGGAACUGGUCCAAUCUCAACUGUCUCCAUUUUGAAAGUUCAUCACCUCCUGCCCCAGCCCAGACACUCACCUGUAUAGAAUUCCUGAUGUUCUUUACCUACCAGGCUAGUGCUUAAAUGCAAGGCUAGGCUAGCAUGCUUAUAUCUAAGCACCUUACCUUGUUUUUAUUUAAAAGAAAACAUCAACCUACAUUUGAUUUAAAAAUAAAAACAGAAACCUGGUUUUUA